GAUGAACGCUGGCGGCGUGCUUAACACAUGCAAGUCGAACGGAAAGGCCAGUGCUUGCCCUGGUGCUCGAGUGGCGAACGGGUGAGUAACACGUGGGUGAUCUGCCCUGCACUUUGGGAUAAGCCUGGGAAACUGGGUCUAAUACCAGAUAGGACCAUGCUUUGGAUGGUGUGGUGGAAAGUUUUUUCGGUGUGGGAUGAGCUUGCGGCCUAUCAGCUUGUUGGUGGGGUAAUGGCCUACCAAGGCGUCGUCGGGUAGCCGGCCUGAGAGGGUGUACGGCCACAUUGGGACUGAGAUACGGCCCAGACUCCUACGGGAGGCAGCAGUGGGGAAUAUUGCACAAUGGGCGCAAGCCUGAUGCAGCGACGCCGCGUGGGGGAUGACGGCCUUCGGGUUGUAAACUCCUUUCGCAACUGACGAAGCUUUUUGUGACGGUAGGUUGAGAAGAAGCACCGGCUAACUACGUG
rnacentral:rRNA from 1 species